CUGAGAGAAAUGAGAACU
rnacentral:miRNA from 1 species